UGAGCUCGAGGGAAGGAUUAAAACAUCUGGAGGGCCGGAUGCAGCGCCUGGGCCGUAGUUUGCCCACUUCCAGUCUAACAGACAGGCGGUGGGAGGGGAAACAGGUACUGAGCACAGACCUGCCUUAGGUCAUUCUAUGUCCCAGUCCACUGCUCUCCCCACUAGGCCACGCUGCCUUCAUCUUCUUCAUUCAUUUUCUUUCCGUGAUCCCCUUUAGACACUCUACGAUGUUGUCUUUGUGACUGGCUGGCAUUUCUACCUUAGGCCCAGAUCGUGUGCCUGUGCUGAGCCCCGCUGAGGCCCACGGGACCCUGUCCAGGCCCGGGUGGAGCAGCCUGCAGGAUCGGAGCGGCGCAGAGCAAAGGGAAUGCUGCGGAAAGAAUAUGCAGCACGUCUCAUCUCCAAAGCACUGGGCCAAGUCCUGGAGCCCUGGGCCAUGGCUAUGCUGGGGACACCUUGCUGGGCUAGGAGCACUGGCAACACUGGUCCUUCACCGGUAUAGGUCAUUCCACCCCACCCCCAAGUGAAGCAAGCUACGCUGGCAGAUGGGCGAUGCCACCUGCAGAGCUGUGCCCAUGCUAGGGAGGGCCUGACUCUUCUUCUUUGAACGCCAGAGGUUGGCACUAUUGGAAGAGCUGUUUCCCGUGUGUCCAUUUCAUCCCUCUAAUGUCACAUCCUUGCGGCAGGUUUCAUUUUCUGGGGCCGGAACAAUCAGCUGGCGUACUAAAAGAACAGGAAGCCCUGGCACGUAACAGAGGGAACAUGCACAGCGCACGAGGAGGCUAAUGGGAGCGGUUGACUUGAAGAGAAAAGCUGGAAAAGGUGCCAAAAAAGUCAUUAAGUCCCUUUUCCAAUGGGAUUUUAGAGGAGGACAGCCUGAAUAUU